AAAUUGAAGAGUUUGAUCAUGGCUCAGAUUGAACGCUGGCGGCAGGCCUAACACAUGCAAGUCGAACGGUAGCACAGAGAGCUUGCUCUCGGGUGACGAGUGGCGGACGGGUGAGUAAUGUCUGGGAAACUGCCCGAUGGAGGGGGAUAACUACUGGAAACGGUAGCUAAUACCGCAUAACGUCGCAAGACCAAAGUGGGGGACCUUCGGGCCUCACACCAUCGGAUGUGCCCAGAUGGGAUUAGCUAGUAGGUGGGGUAACGGCUCACCUAGGCGACGAUCCCUAGCUGGUCUGAGAGGAUGACCAGCCACACUGGAACUGAGACACGGUCCAGACUCCUACGGGAGGCAGCAGUGGGGAAUAUUGCACAAUGGGCGCAAGCCUGAUGCAGCCAUGCCGCGUGUAUGAAGAAGGCCUUCGGGUUGUAAAGUACUUUCAGCGAGGAGGAAGGCGUUGUGGUUAAUAACCACAGCGAUUGACGUUACUCGCAGAAGAAGCACCGGCUAACUCCGUGCCAGCAGCCGCGGUAAUACGGAGGGUGCAAGCGUUAAUCGGAAUUACUGGGCGUAAAGCGCACGCAGGCGGUUUGUUAAGUCAGAUGUGAAAUCCCCGGGCUCAACCUGGGAACUGCAUUUGAAACUGGCAAGCUUGAGUCUCGUAGAGGGGGGUAGAAUUCCAGGUGUAGCGGUGAAAUGCGUAGAGAUCUGGAGGAAUACCGGUGGCGAAGGCGGCCCCCUGGACAAAGACUGACGCUCAGGUGCGAAAGCGUGGGGAGCAAACAGGAUUAGAUACCCUGGUAGUCCACGCCGUAAACGAUGUCUACUUGGAGGUUGUGCCCUUGAGGCGUGGCUUCCGGAGCUAACGCGUUAAGUAGACCGCCUGGGGAGUACGGCCGCAAGGUUAAAACUCAAAUGAAUUGACGGGGGCCCGCACAAGCGGUGGAGCAUGUGGUUUAAUUCGAUGCAACGCGAAGAACCUUACCUGGUCUUGACAUCCACGGAAGUUUUCAGAGAUGAGAAUGUGCCUUCGGGAACCGUGAGACAGGUGCUGCAUGGCUGUCGUCAGCUCGUGUUGUGAAAUGUUGGGUUAAGUCCCGCAACGAGCGCAACCCUUAUCCUUUGUUGCCAGCGGUUAGGCCGGGAACUCAAAGGAGACUGCCAGUGAUAAACUGGAGGAAGGUGGGGAUGACGUCAAGUCAUCAUGGCCCUUACGACCAGGGCUACACACGUGCUACAAUGGCGCAUACAAAGAGAAGCGACCUCGCGAGAGCAAGCGGACCUCAUAAAGUGCGUCGUAGUCCGGAUUGGAGUCUGCAACUCGACUCCAUGAAGUCGGAAUCGCUAGUAAUCGUGGAUCAGAAUGCCACGGUGAAUACGUUCCCGGGCCUUGUACACACCGCCCGUCACACCAUGGGAGUGGGUUGCAAAAGAAGUAGGUAGCUUAACCUUCGGGAGGGCGCUUACCACUUUGUGAUUCAUGACUGGGGUGAAGUCGUAACAAGGUAACCGUAGGGGAACCUGC
rnacentral:rRNA from 2 species